rnacentral:tRNA from 1 species
GCCUGCAUAGCUCAGUGUUAGAGCACCUGCCUUGUAAGCAGGGGGUCGGGGGUUAGAAUCCCUCUGCAGGCU